GGGGCCAUAGCUCAGUGAGAAGAUCAUCUGCCUAGCAAGCAGAAGGUGUCAGGUUCAGUUCCCACUGACAUCU